rnacentral:snRNA from 1 species
GGAUGUGACGCUGAUAUGACUGCGACAUUUGUCCCCAUCAAUCGCCAGGGUUGAUUCAGCUGAUCUGGCUUUCUAGGUUGGUGUCCCCCUCCUCCCUCACCACUCCAUGUGUGUCCCUCUGGAAGCUGCAUGCUCAGACAAAGAGGACAGCCUUCCCCUAAUAGAGAUGGACGUGUUUUUGGUCAAUGGUAUAUGAGUAGCUGUGCUCCCCUGCUAGACCCUCUAAACAAGUUCUCAGGGUCCUUUUGUAGGAGAAUAUAGGGUAGUCAGGCAUCCAAGACUCCAGACACAUCCAAAUGAGACACUGCAUAUGGCAGUCUCCCUUU